CCUGACCUGUUUUACUUUCUCCUUUAGAGUGUCACAUUUACCCACUUGACUACCCAAAAGUACUUGUUUUCACUAUGCUCUAUUCUUGAAUUUUUAUUUCAUUUCCCUCUUUCAGAGUUGAUCGCCCUGCUCAUUAUAAUUUGCUGUUUCUAAUCCUGUUCUAUCUUUUAACUGCUUGGAUGUGUUACUUUAUGUCACUCAGCUUUAGUGUGGAUUGAAGAAAAUAAAAAUCCAACAGAAGCCACUGAGCCAGAACUAUGGCCAGUAUUUCUGAACAUAUAAAAACCAAAAUACUGGCUCACAUUCAUGUCCAUUCAGUCCAAUAAUGAGAGUUAAGAUAUAGUCAAUUUGCA
rnacentral:lncRNA from 10 species